GCAAUGUUCAGCAGUACAUGCACCAAAAUUGGAACAUGGAGAUGAGCAUGACCCCUGAGCAAGAAUGACAAGCGAAUUUGUGAGGCGUUUGGUAUUUUU
rnacentral:snRNA from 1 species